rnacentral:rRNA from 1 species
UAGGGAAUCUUCCGCAAUGGACGCAAGUCUGACGGAGCAACGCCGCGUGAGUGAAGAAGGAUUUCGGUUCGUAAAACUCUGUUGUUAGAGAAGAACAGCGCAUAGAGUAACUGUUAUGCGUGUGACGGUAUCUAAUCAGAAAGCCACGGCUAACUACGUGCCAGCAGCCGCGGUAAUACGUAGGUGGCAAGCGUUGUCCGGAUUUAUUGGGCGUAAAGCGAGCGCAGGCGGUCAAUUAAGUGUGAUGUGAAAGCCCCCGGCUCAACCGGGGAGGGUCAUUGGAAACUGGUUGACUUGAGUGCAGAAGAGGAGAGUGGAAUUCCAUGUGUAGCGGUGAAAUGCGUAGAUAUAUGGAGGAACACCAGUGGCGAAGGCGACUCUCUGGUCUGUAACUGACGCUGAGGCUCGAAAGCGUGGGUAGCAAACAGG